CCAACAAAAGGGUAAAUGAAAGGCGAACUACUGAGGAUAAAUUGCAAGCAUCCGGCAAUUAUCCACAGGGACUAGCUGGGGAUGCAUUGGUAUACAACCAAUGAUCUGGGGAACACAAUCACUAGCAAAUGGUGAAAGGACCCACUGGGGAUGAAAUUGCUAGCAUACGGCAAUUAUCCACAAAAGACUUGCUGGAGAUAUAAGUGCUGAUCUGAGCAACUUAUGCAAGCAAAGGAAAAUCAUCAUCAAAUAUUGAAUGAAGAUAACCACAAAAUUAGGGUUUACAUCUACC
rnacentral:lncRNA from 1 species